rnacentral:rRNA from 1 species
GAUACCCAACAGCUAGCCCACCAAAACAGCAACAACCAACAACUAUGUAUAACCCUUAAUAUACUAAACGCCAACAAUCAAACCAUUUCUCCCCUCAAGUACGGGCGACAGAAAAAGGACUAAGGAGCGAUAGAAAAAGUACCGUAAGGGACUGCUGAAAGAGAAGUGAAAUAACCCAGUAAAGAUAAGAAAAGCAGAGAUAUAACCUCGUACCUUUUGCAUCAUGAUUUAGCCAGCGUGCCUCAAGCAAAAAGCACUUUAGUCUGACACCCCGAAACUAGGGGAGCUACUCCAAGACAGCCUAUUUAUAGGGCAAACCCGUCUCUGUGGCAAAAGAGUGGGACGAGCUUCGAGUAGAGGUGACAAACCUACCGAACCUAGUUAUAGCUGGUUGCCCAGGAAUUGGAUAGAAGUUCAGCCCCACAGAUUCUUCGUUCCCCCAGGUAUUACCCCCUCUGAUAAAAUAAGAAACUGCGAGAGUUAUUCAAAGGGGGUACAGCCCCUUUGAAACAGAACACAACCUUACUGGAAGGAUAAAGAUCAUA